CCACUGUAAAACUUUGCCUCGACCCCACUGCAUGGUUAUGGGGCUGUAAAGCUGCAGGAAUGCCAAGAUCGUGGCUGGUCAAGGACAGGGAGGGAAGGAGAAGGUGGGGAGGAGGAACAAAAAGCUGAGGCGAGAGCCUGGAGAAGGGGGACCUGCUGUCUGUUUGAACUUCACUGGGCAGGAGGCAGCCCUGGACCUGCACCCAGACCUGGGCCUGCACACCACAGGAGCAUACAAUGGUGCUGUGCAUGUCUUGUCCUGGCAUCAGAGGCAAGUGAUGGGAACUGCCAAGACGGGACUGGUGGGUUUGGCAGAGAUGGGCAGCAGGGUGGAGAUCUGGAGAAGACUCCACGGACGCCCACCUCACUGCCACAGAAGACCCCACAAACUGUGGCACUGACUUUCAGAAUGGGUCUGGUUCUCAACUUUAUCAUCCUCCCACAGCGACUAAUGUAGCGUCUCCCCUGUGGUUGAUAGCUACUCUUCCAAGGUUAUGCUGUUUGAUGUUUUCUUGUCUCAGGCUGUAAAGUUAUCCAUUGACUUGGAAAAACACAAUUAAGAGAGACAGAGCCGUCAGGCAGGUUCUUCAGGUAUCUCUGCAGACAGCAAAGGACUGCAGAGAAGUGGCUGCUGGUGAGCAUUGCAAAGGCUGCUUGAGGCUGGGAAUGGUCUCACGCAGCCCAGGGACAGGAGACAGCCCCUGUGAAGGCUCAGCAUCCUCCACUCACCUGAUUCAGGUUCAGGUUGGAUAUUAGGAGAAAUUUCUCCUCAGAAAGAGUGGUGAGGCAGUGGCACAGGCUGCCCAGGGACGUGGUGGAUUCACGGUCCCUGGAGGUGUUCAAGAAUAGGGUUGAUGUAUCACUGAGUGACAUGCGUUAACGGGCAUGAUGGGAACGGGUUGAUGGUUGGACUAGAUCUUAGAGGUCUUUUCCAGCCUUAUUUCUGAUUCUAUGAUUGUGUGACCUGUGAGGCCGAUGGGGAAGGGAGUGGGACAACAGAAUGUCCUGGAGGCAGGACAUGGCAGGAGAGAGAUGACGUGGUGGGACAAGACAGCCCUGCAGGGAGCAGGGGAUGGCGACCCUGCGCUGGGAAACCCCAAGGCAUCCCCAUCACUGUGCUCUGGGGCUGGCUGUAGCUCAGUGGCUGGCGGUGGCUCGUGCUUUCCCAGCCAGCUCCCAGCAGUUGUUUGCCCACCAUUAUUUAAGCAUUCGUCUUGUUCAAGCACCACUUCAGGGCAGGCUGGCUGCUGCCCUGGUGCUGCAGGGCUGGCCGUAUCUUGCAGAAAAGCAACAAGAGCCUUCCUUCUCCCCUCCCUCACUUUCCCCAGGGCCUCUAUUACCCCAAAUAAACACUCACUUUGGGUAAUAGUUAACUUUAAUGGCUCUGUCCCGGCUUCAGCUGUGUGAUAGGGAACCAGAGGGAGACGUGUGGGGUUUAUAGUCCUCAGGAUGGAGGAGAUGAGGGAGGCUGGAAGGGAAGCACUCAUGGCCACUGUCACGGCACGCUGCACCGCUCCCACCAAGUGGGAGCAAUCUCUCCAUCUCCCUCUCCAAACUCCAGCCCUGCUUGGUUGCUCCUGUUCCUGCCCUUGUGUUUUCAUAGAAUUGUGUUGUAUAUCACCCACCAUGUUCUGCCUCCACCCAGACAUUCUGUUAUCCCACUCUCUGCCCUAUUGGCAGCACAGGUCAUAGAAUCGUACAAUCAUUAAGGUUGGAAAAGACCACUAAGAUCUGGAUAAUUUGAGAUAAAAGUGAGCCCAGUUCCUAUUACUGAAAUUGCAAUAGCGCACAGAGAUGCUGUGGUCUCGGUGCCACUGUGGCAUCGGUGGCUUCAUGGCCUGGUGGGAUUGUUCAGGGAGACCCCUGAAGAGGAGGGCAGUUCCCUCCUCAGAGGGAAGGUCCUGAUGGGAAACAGCCAGCUCUGGGGUUGCUUUGGGAAAAGCUGGGAGAGCAGAAGAACAAAGGAAAUGUUCAGGGUCAGAAAGGAGCAGAGAAGAGAUGCAGAGAGAUGAGAGCAAACUGUAAAAGCUCGCAGGCUGCAGGAGCAGCGUGGAAACACUGGGGGACAGCGGAUGACCACGAGAGCUGUGCAAGGUGGUGGGAGCUCCAGACAUUCCGGCAGGUUUCACAGCCCUGGAUGCUCACCCUGAGCAUCUCCACUCCUGGCCACGGUGGUGGGACAGAGCCUUCCAUGUCCUACUCCUCCCAUCCCAGGCACAUGGCUUCCCCCAGCAUGGCCAAACGUUGCUGUUCCAGGAGAAACCCAAUCAUGUGCCCACCAUUCACCUGAGCCCUCUAAUCCCCUAAUCCGUCACCAAGGAGACCCAGGCACUACCUGGGCUGUGGGAAGCAGAGGGGCCCCGGAGCUGGAGGAUCAAUUCCUGGCACCAUUAUCACGCAGAGAGGGAUGGACCAGAGAGACCUCACAACUUGAUGCUCCAGUGAACUGAUUAUUAUUCUCAGGAGCUACAUUCAUCUCAGCUGAUCACUUCCUCCACAGCAGGGCCCCAGAUGGCACCCGUCACCAGCUGCAGUGACAGCAGCUGGACCUUCAUCCUGGAACAACAUGUAGUCCCUGCCUGACACUGAGCCGUGCUGUGGGGCAGUGGGACAGGGCUGUAUAGAGGGACAGAGGGGCAAGCAGCAUUGCAGAGGGCAGCACAGGCCUAGCAGGAGGGAGCCCAGGGGAUGAGGGCUUUGGAGGUCUUCUCUUUGCUGUUUUUCACCUGGGGGAAGCAGAGGCUGGAGCUGCUCUGGGACGGGUCUGUAGCCCUGAGGUCUGCAGGCAGCGCCGGCGGAGGGGCAGGUGGUGGCCCUGCCUGUCCUCAUGUGCCACCUAGCGGGACACCAGCGCAGCCCGCUGCAAAGCACUCGGGGAAAGCCGAAUUGUACAUAGCCUCACUUCUCCUUUUGCUGUUUGGACCCCACAUUCCCCUCAGCAGAGGAAGGGGACACAGGAUCAGGUUCCCUCCAGGACCAGGAUGCUCUGAGUGCAGUCCUCCUCAUCCUGGGCUGUGUGCGUGCACCCAGGACAGCAGGGAAAACCAUUCAGAAGCCUCCAACACCGUCACCUGGUUGCUUCCAAAGCUGCCUGGGGAGUCACACUUAAUAUGGGGAUGUUACACUCUCACUGAUUGCAUCUGCUUCCAGAAUCCACUCCAAAGGUCCGCCUCUGGGGGCAGCUGGAGCUCUCCCUCCCUUUCCUCAGGGCACUUAUUUGGUUGUACGGCAAACCCAAGAUGAGCAAACCUGGGGCACAUUACAGCAGGAAAUUCUGCAGUUUUGCACAAGGCUUGGGGCAAGCUGAAUUUCUCAAGAUACAAGAGAAAUCUGUGCAUGGUUUGCUAUAAAAUGCAUGCUGCCUGGGGACCCUGCCUGUCUGUGCAUCUUUCCCAGAGGGGCUGGGAACAGCACUCAGGCAAGGAGCUGGCAAGGGUCAAGGGUCCAAUCAGACACCUCAGAUGGGGCAAGAGUUGGCUAUGUGGGGCCUGCAGGCUGGAUGGCAGGCUGCGAUUCCUUACAGCCUGGUGGGACUUCAGCUGGAGGCAGCUAACAGCCUGGAAUAAAAGACAACGUAUUGGUUUGCUUACCUAUGGCAGAUGGAGUUCAGCUUUGAGGAGCCACUUCGAAAGUGAGAAAAUCUGUGGUGAGAUCUCCUUCAAGUGAGAUGCUGCCAUUCGAAGCUCUCAAUUUCAGGAUUUCCUAAUAACAAGGUGCCACAAGGAUGGAUAAAAUUCCUUAAAGCUGUGACAAAUGGCAGUCUUUUGGGCAGAAGACAGAUUUCCAACCUGUUCCACCACAUUAUCAGGCACCUGUUGGAGAAAGACCUGCUGAAAACCUCCAAGCUGCAAUAGGAAAUGCUCUGCCAGCAAACAAAAGUUUGCCAAAGAGGCCGCAUACAGCUGCUACAGCUUCUUGGGGCAACAAUUCUUGUUGCUGGUGGCUUCAGCUUUGUGGCAAGAAGCAUUUAUAUUCCUGCCCAGUGUGUUGGUGGGCCCUUCCCUGGGCUGGACCAUGGCUCCUGGAGGGCAUGCUGUAAUUAACACCAUCCAUCAUCAUCAGGAGCUGUGUGAUUAGGUUGUACCAGCAAAUUGCAUUACUCCCAGGAAGGGUGGGAUGUCCCUUUUGAAAAAUAGCCCCAUCAUUAGAUCUGAAGCAUCAGUGGGAAGCUAAGCCCAGCAGAUAAUCCUUUCAGAGCUGGCUGAUAUUCUCUCCAGGGCUUUCACAAAUUUGCUAGGAGAGAGCAGGAGGUGCACUUUGCUUCCUAGAGAAGGGCUCCCAGGGGCACCAGCACUGUCGUCCCACAGGUUCAGAGCCCACCUGGAGGUCACGAGGGCUCAGACAUGCCAGCAAUGGUAGACAGCAAUGAGAGCUUGUCUGAGCUGUGUUAACAGGGGAGUCUCUGUAGAGCUCAUUCUUCAAGGCAAGGUAGGGAAAAAGACUUGAUCCACUCCCCAUUUUUGGGGUGCUUUAGAAUCUCCUAAUCUCCUGCACACACCAAGCUUGCAUUCUACCCCAGUCUGAUCCUAUCCCUUUAAGGUUACUCCCAAGCUAUAGGAGGUUUGGCAAAACAGCCUGAACUUUUCUUUGAAACUCAUUUGGGCUCAUGGUCCCCCAGGGCUUUCCCAUUCCUCCACUAAGAAGAUUCAUGAUCUCUGCCGUGGAGUGAAGGGCACGGCUGUCCUCACUGGAUUGCGCCCACAGGGAGGGCAGGCUACCAUCAAUAACAAGGAACAAAGCAGGAGAUGGGGAGGGAAUCAAUUAGACUGAACCUUACCUGGAUGGCAUUUUGGGGGAGGACAUAGACAGCUUUGAAAUACAGGCAAGGAGCUGCUGGCUGCAGCUGGUUUCUAUUAACCUCUUCUGCAGCGGGCUGCAGACCUGUGGGAGCCCCAGCCAGAGUUUGGGAAGGUCAUUCUUAGGGGCUGUGCUUACGUUGCUCAUACAGCUCAGGAGAAGCCAUUCAGUGACCAAUACUGUGGAAAAAAACAACAGAUUGCAACAGGAAUUAGUUGGGCAGGAGGGGGGAUAGGUGGGCAUCAGUCUUCAGAGCACCAAUCUCCCACUUGCCAACAUCAUCUCCACGUUCUUCAGCAGGUGUUUAACGUGCGGAGCACUGCUGCACAGAUGCAGACAAGCUCCCACACUACUCUGGUUCCAGCUUUGGGGGUGUUUUCCAGGGAUUGACCCCUUUCCCCUUCCCCCAGAGCUCCAGCAGCCUGAAGAUGUGCAUUCAAUGAGCCGUUUUACUGGCAGCAGGUGACUAUCUCCAGCAGAGGAACUGGAGCUGCUCUGCAAAGCAUGCCAGUAACUGUGCUGCUAUGGGGACACACCAUGGGAAUUCGCCCAGGACUGGAUGUUCAGCACUAGGUACAGUGAAAUUAGAUUAACGUGUGCUUUGGGGAGGAAGUGAUGGGCUUGAUAGUGUCUGAAGGAGCAGGAAUCACUGGAGAAGGAUGGGUUUGGAUGGGUUUGUACACCAGGGCUUGCAGUGCUCGCUGAGCAGGGGGACACAUCAAAGGGGUGGCUGUGGUUUGGGAUUGGGAACAGUGCCUGCCUAUGCAGGACAAACACUCAUCCCUCUCACGUGUAGAGGCGAGCAGCAUUGGUGUGUGAGCUCACAGUGGCAGGAAACCUGGGCUGAUAGCUGUUAGUAACAGUGCUGAAAUAGCAAGGCAGUGUGGUUUUUAUUUCGGAGCGUUCGCUGCAUAGUCAGGGCUCAGAAAGACACAGCAGAAAACAAAAGAGGCGGGUUGGUAGAAUGCUAUUAGAGCCAUUAAUCACCAUUAAGAACUAAUAACUGUGUACUGCCUCCCUGGUGCUACUUGCUACCGCACCACCCAGCCCCAAUCCCCUGCUUUAUAACAGCUUCACACUCAACUCAGCUGCCAGAAAAACUUCCUGCCCUCUGUCUGAACCCACCGACUUGGCCCUAAAUCCCCACCCACAACCCACCAAUGUGAAACUUCCUCUUCCCACCACUUCUCUGCAGCAGCUUUGCCUUCAGGAGCACUGAGCCCAGUGAUUCUACCAGAUGGGAUGUUUUUUUUGUGCAGUACGGGUAGCUAGAUUAAUAGAUUAUUUUAAACUUCCCAUUAAAAAGCAUCCAAAUAAGUGCCUCAAAGCAAUUGAAUUAGCCUAGCUGCAGUCACACGAGGCUACUUCUGUAGAAAAGACAAAUUUGAGGCUCUCUCCAUCCAUCCAUCCACCCACUCAUCCAUCACCCACCCAUCCUUGGCCCACUCCUUUUCACAGUGCCGACAAGGACAGGGUAUUUUUCAGAGUCUCACAGACAGCAGCCCAGCAGAUGGCAGAUCUCUGCAACCCUGGCUGGAAUGGGGACAGUGUGAGGCUGGAGAGAAGAGACUGAAACAAUUCUAUUCCCACCAAAAAUAACGCCCAGAGCUGUUCACAGUCUUCAGUGCGUUCUUGUUUCUACUUGAGAUGCUGGAUUUUUGUGUGAUAGACACCAAAACAAUCAAAAUACAGAAGCAUUUCACAUUAUCUGAAUGGAUUUAGACUUCGGCUUUCUAUCAAUUAAUCAGUCAAUCAAUCAAUCUGUCAGAGACCUUUCCUGUAUUUCCUGUUGAGCCCUGGGUUAAAAAGCCAGCUUUGCAGUAGCAGUGCUGCUUGCUGCAUAUCCUCUGAGCUCUGAGCUCCUGAAAUUUUAAAUAUAUCUGUAUGUUUUGCUUUUAUUUCCAGCCUCUCCGCUGGUGGAGGAACCGUCAAGGUCAUAUUUAUAUUUAUUAGAUUCAUUGUAUUGGUUGCUGUGGAGUGCUGCUGUGACACCAGAACAAAUUGCUGUGCUGGGGAAGGACAGGAGAGGGACCGAGGAGUUAGGGCAGGGGGCAGGUGGGCACGGUGUGCUCCUGACCCACCGCCAUGGGAGGGCAGAGGGGGCUUUGCUCCGGCAUCAUCUCAGAUGGAGACCGCUUCGAGUCCUCGUCCCACUCUGGCUUCCUCUGUAGCAUGAACUGCUGUGCUUGGAAAUCUCAUCCACGGCAGAAGUCAGGAGAAAUUUUGGCAUUCCUUAAGGGGUUUUGGUCAUGAGAGAGGGGUAUAACAUUUCUGGUGAUCUUUGUGUGCAGUGCUCACCUUCCCCUUCCCCUCUAUCUGCAGCAUCCUCCAGACCCCCCAUAAAAGAGGGGGAGACUCUCCAGCAGACACUUGUUUCUCUCCCCAUGUGGGCUCCUUUGAGCCACGUGCCUGGGGUUGAUGAGGCUGCUGGCCAUAGAUGCAGAAGCCAAAAUCACUUUCCUCUGCCUGAAGCUCCUGGCAUCCCUAUCUGCCAGGGGAGUGAGAGGUCUAAAUCUCUUGUGCCUGCUUUUGGACGUUGAUUCUGAUUCAGCAAGCAGGCUGCUGCACUGCUUAAGUCAUAUCUGAGAAUCUCAAGGGGGCUUAUGGCCAACCUGCAGUCACCCUGGGGCGUUUCCACCAGCAAGAUGUUGUGGGAUGGAGGGCAAUUCCCUUACAAAAAGCUAAUGAUGAAUUCAGGGCAUAUUUAAAAAUCAAGGUUGAAGUGUUGCAGGGCUUUGGCACAAGGAGGACAAGGCACAGGUCCAUUGGCAAGCGCUCCAGCUCCUGGGUAGGAUUUGGGGAAGUGCUGGGGUUAUGGGGACACCCCACCCCUCCUGGUGCCUAGGGUGGCUGAUGGGAGCUUUGGGGCGCCGAGCUCUUGUAUACAGGUGGCAGCUCUUUCCCCUUGGGGGUGUUCACAUCCCAGAGGAGACGCUUGAGGCUUUGGCUUGAAACGGAUGAAGAUCAAAGCCUGCCCACAGACCUUCAUCCCAGCAGGCAGGAGGAAGAGGGAGAGGCAGACACAGAGGCAGCAGAUGCAGUGACCUUUGCAUCCUGUGUGAAAGGAAGCUGAAAGUCAAAUGCCAGCCCCACCAGGCAGCUCUGCAUCCCAACCUGCUGCUUGCCCCUGCUGCUGUGGCGUUCAGAGUUGCUGCGAGCCUAUAGCGGCCUUGGUUGGCUCCUGCUAUUCAUUUCAAUUGAUUUAUUUUUAGUUUUGUGGAAAGGAAGAAAGUGAUAAAUAAAUAAAUAACCUCCCACCCUGUCCCAACUCCUGGCAGGCUCCUUGUAGGCUGUCAUCUUGGUGGGGUGAUGGAAAAUAUCUCCACCCUUCCUCCUCCCCAGCAGCAUCCAGCAAGCCAUCCAUCACCCAGCCCUGGGAACAGGAGGUCUGCAGGGUCAGCGGCCAGCCCCCUGCUUCAGCUCAUCCCAUGGGGUUUGGCUGUAGGGUGAGAGCUGUAUUUUGGGAUGGUCUGCGCAUGGAGCAUCAGAAAGGAGCUAACUUGGGGAUGAAAAUGGGGGACAAGGAGGGAAAGGUGUCCCCCUCUUCUUGCUGGCCUGUAGGAAUCAGAGGAAGGGCACAGCCCUCUGCAGCAGCCGCAGCAGCUUCUGCCUGCACUGCAGUUUGCCAAGCACUGCUCUGCAUUUGCUGCAUUUGCUGCAGGAGCAGCCCCAAAAGCAGUAGCCCCAAAAACAAGGAUGAGCCCCGGGAGGACUCGUGGGGGGACAGCAAAAUGAAGACAGCAGGUCAACCUAGGGGCAGAUAUUGCUCUACCUCAUCAAAUAGAUGUGCCUGGGAGGAUUUCAAUUUAAGACAUAGCUUGCAGUGCAAUCUCAAACAGCUUUUGGUCCAGAACAGCCGUGAGGUGUUGCUCACAAAAUUUAGGAUGCUGCUACUGUAAUAAAUAACAACGGAGUCAAUCCUCACACUAAUUAGUGUUCAGUCUCAGUGGGGAGGAGGCAGGCAGUGGGUUGGUUCUGCACCUGCUGGAGCAUCUCUGCUGCAUCCCUGAAUGGCACAAAGUGCUGGGGACGCUGCAAGGAGCCAAGGCUGCUGUGGGGGGACCCUGCCUGGGGAUGCUCUGGGACCUUCAUCCAGAGCAACUCCUGGAGCAUUUCAGCACACCCUGUCCCCACCUUCCAUCUCAAAUCAUCCUAUCUCAGAUGGGUAGGAGCACCAUUCCCUCAGCCAGUAUUUCUCUAACUUAUAUCCUUAUGUCCUAUAUCAUGUAUAUCCUGCCAAAAUGAAGUCAUUCUUCUAAUUAUGCAGACAGAGGUGGGAGAGGGAGGGGUCCAGCUCCUCCGGUAGAGCAUUUAGUCCCACGCUGGCAUUUGGUCAGGGGAAAUCAAAGCACAGUUCAUCCUGUGAGACUGAGAGGGUUCUCAGCUAAAGCAUGAGCAGAGAGCAGAGGUUUGAGCAGAAACUCAGUGCUGGUGUCAUUUGGAAACGGUGAAAGAAGGAAAAAAUAUUGCAUCCUCCCCAGGCUUUACUUACAACACAAGUGAAGCACUGUGUUGGGGUCACUGGAGUUCUGCACUUCAACGGACCCUUUAAAAUAAAAAAAAAAAAAGAGCGGAUGUCAGCAAAUGUUGCCCUAAAGCCAGGAAAUCCUGAAUUAUUCUAAGAGGAGGUCAAAUGGAAACACUUUAAGAAAUGUCAGCAGAUGUCCUGUCACUUUCAGAAAGGUUUCCCCUCAUGUUCUGGACUGGAGCCUUGUGUCAGAUUUGAGCCCUCUCUGUAGGUCUUUAGGUGUCUCCACAUGGAAAAAAAUCCCAGCAGCUGGAGAUGCCCCCCAGCCCCAAGCAACGGUGAACCAGCAUGUGUCCCCUAGGUCUCCACCUCUGGCUGGAGCUGGUGGCACUCAGGGAAGGAGCACUUGCAAACCUUCUGCACGAUGCUUCUCUCUAUCUCACUGCUGGAGCUCCCAGAGCUGGUGCACUGGGGUAGCUGAUGCCUGGGGUAGGGCAGUUAGCAUGUGUCUUGUUUUUUCCCCUGUUAUAUACCAUAAGCAGGUGCGACGGCUUUUCCCACACCCAGGACCAUCCCCAGUGCUCUGAGCUACAUCUACAUUCAAGGAGAGGUGUUACCUGGACAGCUGGAAGGACACUGAUGAGGCACUGGCACAGACUGCCCAGAGAGAUGCCCCAUCCCUGAGAAGGUCAGGCUGGAUGGGGCUCUGAGCACCUGAUAGAGCUGUAAGUGUCCCGGUUCGUUGGAGAGGAGUUGGACCAGAUGGCCUUUAGGGGUUCUUUCCAACUCAAAUGGUUUUAUGAUUCUACGAUGACAUUGUCUUGUGCCACAUCUGGCACCUUCCCAAGAGUUCUUGGCUCUUGAAUUGCAGAGCUGGGAGUUUCCAGGAGGAGGAACACUGCAAACCCCCUGCAAUGAAACCACUCAAUCAAAACCAGCACCGCAAGAUCAACAUUUUGGGAACUGUUAGUCCCUCUGAGUUUAGAGCACGCCAAUGGCAGAUAACUCACAUCUGCUUCUGAAAGCAGGAGAUUAGCCUAAUUUAGCAUGAGCUCAGAUAUCAGCAACAAAAUCUAAUUACGAGGACAUGUCAGGCUCAUUGAUCACUUGAAAUGGCAACGCAAAAAGUUGGGCCAAUUGCAUAAUGACUGCAGAGUGCUUCCACCCUGUGCUGUUUUGCUAGGGGAAUUUGCUUCCCCAAUUAUCUUGUAUUGAUGGGAGCCCAGUGCCGUGCUGAUGAUGGCACGUACCUUGUUUUAUAUUAAAAAUACGUUUUGUGCUUGCUGGAAAUUACAAAAAGCAAUUCCAGAAAUACUGGAUGGAAAUGCAUUAGAUCCCAAGGGUUUCUGACAGGUAAUGGGAUGUCUGCAGCAGUUCUUGUAGGACUGAGUCCAGCGUCCCCAUGGAUGAUGUGGAGCUGCUCGCCCUCACGGCAUCAACACUUGAGCCCCACUGCUAAAGUGUUCAUCACAGCUGACAUUAAGUGACAGCAAUUGUUUCCUGGUGGCUUUUUGCUUCCCCAGGCCAGGAAGGCUCUUACUGCCUUGUUCUGUGCAGUGCCUGUGCACAAGGAGCAGUGCCUUCCAAGGGACGCCUGUCGGAGUGCAAAAAGAGGGAAAGCAGAAAGGAAAACAUUUUAAAAGAUAAAAUAAAGCUUAGUCAGUCAGGUACUGGUACGGAGUCAAGAUGCAUUUUGGAUGAGGGGCUGUUUUAUAGAUGGGCUGAUGUCUGCUCAGACAAGCGUGGAGCGUGAGGGAGUCAAUGAGGAUGGAGCAGCGCAGUAAUGGAUUUUCCUGUGUAUCACCACUGCUCCCGCAACGUCCAGCGAAGCAAAUGAUUGCGUCUGCAGCAUCAAUCAUUUAGCAUCGUUAGACAAGAAGCUCUGCCACAAGAUGAGCAUCUCAUGCUUGGAAAGCAAUUGGCUCGGCUUUACCUCAGCGCUGCUGCAGCAGGGGACCUGUUAUCCCUGGUGGCAGGGUUCCUGUUUGGGGAGCCCAGGUCAUGAGCCCUCCUUACUGCUCAGAUUAUUCACAGCCCUGAAAUAAUACCUGCCUGUGACCAGGCAGCCACCAUCCAUAAGGCACGGUCAGAAGCAUGAGCUAUUAUCCAGCCGCUGGCUCUUCUCAGGAAGCUCAUUUCCAUGCAGAAUUGCACCUUGUGCAAUAUAUCUGCGGGAGCGAUAGCUGAAUGCCUCCGCUUCAGGGAACAGGACCAAAAAAGUGAGUGAGAACUAUUGAUCUGGUUUUAAGGAGAGCUGUAUCUAUUAAUCUGGGAACACUAAUCACUGGGGGCUGACAGGAACAUGAGGUUUCCAGUGCCAUGCUGACACUCCUCAGCCUCUUGGGUGAAGCCUGAGGAUGACAAGCUGCUUUCCUGGAGCUGGGCAGGAAAGCCCAGCAGGAGGUCCCCGACAGCUACUUAGAUGGGAAGGGUAAUACCAAAGAGAUGGUCCUGGGGAGCCCUGAGGACAUUUGUCAUCUUGCAGUUAUCCCCACAAGCCUGAGCUGGACGUGGCAUUACAACAAAGGUGGCUGUCUGCCUCCUGGGAAGGGGGCAGGGGUGGUUAUUGCGUUAUUAUUUUCUUCUUUCAGUAUAGCAAAUAUGACAUAAUAAAGCUGAGAGCUGACUAAGAUAGGAAGCUUCUAAGGGAUGAAAAAGGCUGCAAAGAAACUCCUUGCCAGGUGAAUUUAAUUCUUGAUUUUUCAGGGCUGAGGUGUUCAGUGGCUGUGCUGCUGCCCUCUGAAUAGCAGCUCUCCCCUUGAGAACAUCAGCUGCUCCCCUGCAGUGGUUUGAUACCAUUUGCAAACUUUGGGCAAGCUCUCCUCCAGGUCAUUCCCUCCGCCAUGUUGUUUAUUACACGCAAGCCAGCACUGAGCAUUUUUACUUCGUGACUGUGCCAGCCGGAUGGGGCAGAGCACUCACAUCCUGAGCUGGAUGGGCAGAAUCAUUUCCACACAUUUGCAAGGUCAUUCAGGUGAACUCGGGUACCCUCCUCAAGGUAUUGAUGUGUUUCUAAGCCUUAAGGAGUCCUUUUUCCAAGAUGAGAUGUACAUUCAUCAUGCAUUUUUCAUAAAACCUAUCUAUAUUCAUUAAUUGGUUGUUAUGCUCCAGUUGAUGAAGAAUAGACCUCAAGGGUUUUGGCAAGGACUCUUUAGCUUUAAUGUCUUUAGUUCCUCCCUUUGCUCGGCAAUGGCUGGGAGAGGAGAACAGGGAGUAGCACGAAAGCUUUGCCUGUAGUUACCUCUCAAUAUCCUUCCUCUAUCUAAUAACAUCCUUCCUUGGAGAGCUAAGACGUGAUGGUCCAUAAGAAGCCAGCCCUCACCUCUCACCAGGGAAGUGGCCCCUGCCAUACUGGGGCUGAUAAAUAUGACAAAUGACAUCGUAUUUAUUUUACAACAAAGAGAGUGCUUCAGCUAUCUAGAGAUCAAAGCAUAUUAGCAUGUGGAUAAAAACUCCAGUGUUUGUGUAAUCCCUAAAUAGAUUUCUUUGGCUAGUAGCUGCAAGCUGCUACUCCCACCCGGCUCAUCAUCCUAAUGGGUAGGUGUCACGUCAAGGAGGAAGAGCUGUGAUUUAGCUGGUAGGUUAAUGAGAAAGUAGGAGGUGUAACUGGUUGCAUUUUUGGAUUUUUUUUUCUGCCCUACUCUGGACAAAAACCUCAUUACCUUGUGCACAAACCUGCUUAAUUCUGUGCAGCUUUGCAGCUUCUUCUUGCUUCAUGCUCCCAUCAGAGGACUGCUGUGUGCCGUGGUUGCCCCAGGCAGCUGAAGAUUUGCAGCCACCUAUGUGCUCCCAGCCAUCGAGGAGCAGCGAGAUCGGGGCUGCUCUCACAAGAAGGUGAAGCCAAGGUGGGACCUAUACCCUCAGCAUCCAACCAAGAUGGACACAACCUAGAGUCCAGGUCAUAUGGCAACACCAUGGUGAUGAUGGAGGUCCAAGGCAAAGCUGGGAACUCAUCCUGCAGGCUGAGGUCCACAUCAAGGAGCCCCAUGGCUAGGCAUAGGCUGAAGCCCAGCACUCCUGCAGUUCACAGUCUGGGAAACAUGCACAGAUAUGCUACCUUCUUAUUACUAAUGUUUAUUAAUUAAAGAUAGAGUUUACAGACUGCUUCUGCAAGUACCAUUCAUUCCCAUAAGACCUUUCGGGGUGACAGAGGUAUUCACCUCUGACCACCCCAUGCCUCCUCAUCCUUUGGGUACUGCUGUGGAACUUAGCCCAGUCUCCGUGUAGGAUGGAGCAGAGCGUGAGCGAUGCUGGAUAACUCCUGCCCUCCCAUCUUCUCCGGCAGCUCAGGGAUGUUGGCACCUGCCUUUGGCCACCACUGAGAGCCAUUUGUCUUGUGCUUCUGCAAGCGUGAAAUGCAAGGUGACAGCUUGACGUGCAGCAGCAGGAGGGAACGGCCCCCUCCUCCCCCCGCGCACGUCUUCUCUUCCAGGAGCCCUCAAGAAGCCAUCCUGGCAGUGCCUCCAGUCCUUCUGCUCAUGCCUCAUUUCCAACUCAUUCAUGCAGCCUGCCCACCAGACCCUUACCUAUCUGUAUGUCCCCAGAGGGGGAUCUGUGCUUACAGGGUCUGCUGCACACCAUGACUUUGGUCUCCAAAAUCAACAUUACAGCUGGGCUGAAGGACUCUGAGCUCCUCAUCCCAGGACCAGAGCAGCCCUGCCCAAACCAUUCCUAAUGCUGCAUCUGUCCAACUUGCUUUUAAAAUAUCCCACAGUCUCCUCCAGGUCUUGGGUUUAUGUGCCAGCCUGGUGGGGAGCACAUCAUGAUGCUCUCUAUGACUGCUUUGCAGGGUCUUCCCAUCAGGCUUUGACCAGCCUGAACCGCUGACCAGCCAUAGCUCUCUUUCUUCAGGAUGAGAGGUAAUGGUCUUAAGUUGGACCAGGGGAGGUUCAGAUUAGAUGUUAGGAAAAAUUUCUUCUCCAAAAGAGUGGUCAGGCAGUGGCACAGGCUGCCCAGGGAAGUGAUGGAGUCACCGUCACUGGAGGAGUUCAAGAAAUGUGGAGAUGUGGCACAGAGGGACAUGGUAUAGUGAUCAUGGUGGAGAUGGGUCAACGAUCAGGCUAGAUGGCCUUAGAGGUCUUUUCCAACCUUAAUGAUUCUAUGAUUCUGUGAUUCUAUGACUCUACGAUUCCUUCCUGCACAUGUUCGGAGGGAGUUGAACAUCUUCCCAGGGGACAGGACACCAAAGAAUGGGUCAGGCACAGCACAAAGUGUCUGAAGAGGAUGGUGCCCUUCUAUUGGCAUCUCUAGCACUCAAGUCCCAACAGCACAGUCCUCCCAUCAGGAUCAGAUCCAGCUGUGAGAUUUGGCCAGGACAAGCUGAAGACCAAGGGAUGCGGUUAGGUCUCCUUCAGUUCAGCCCUGCAGCCACUCAGCAGAGACAUGGCACUUCGUUUAAGAGGGAGCCAGGGCUGCAAAGCAUCGACCAUUUGGGUUUCUAUUUCCCAGCUGCUGGCGGCUCUGUGAAAAUGCACGGGGAGAAGGAAUAACAGGUCCUGAGCCCAGCACAUGUCCUGCAGCCUGGAAACACAGCCCUGAGAUCCCCAGCCCUUCUGCAAACCGUGGCCCUGCACUUUGCUGUUGUAUCAGACCACACUGCAGUGACCCUGGCCAGCACCACAGCCAGGAUUUCCUCAGCUGAGAGAGACCAGGGCAGACCUGACCGUGGUGCUUUACAGAUCCUACUGUUUUUCUGCUGCUGCGUAUGUUGGCUCUGAGAUGAGCUGUGCUGCUCUGUUAGAAUUUUUUCCCUGCUGCUCAAGUUGAUAGCUACAGUGAGGAGAUGUCUUCUCUGAUUUACACAUCCUCCUUAUGUGGGGUGGAGCUCGUGGUUAAAAAAAUCAUUUCUCACAGAGUUCUCUGCCUCAUUUUCCUUUGUCCCUGGUUGUGGUUGGCGUCUGAAAGGUCGGGGACAGAGACCUUCCCCUGCCCUGUGCUCAGCAGGGCUCCAUUGGUGCAAACCCACAAGUUCAACAACACUGUGCCCACGUCAUUUCCUGAGCACUGCCUUUUCCGGAGCUUUUGGUUUCAAAAGCAUUCCUCCGUGGUCAGAAGAAAUGCUAUGAAAACAUGCUUGUGCUUCCCAGUGCUUGGGUCGUGCUGCCCCAGCAUGCGAUGUGGGUCCUCUUGCUGUCCCCUGCACUACAGCCCCCAGCAGCUCCCAUCACCCGCUAAAGAGAUUUGCAGUGCUCACUGCCAACGGCUCCCCAAGUGUGGGCUGCGAAGAUUAAUGGCUCUGCUGCUCGCCUGCUCUGUGCGAACAUCGCUGAAGGGCAUCUAUGGGCUGAGCUGAUAAAGAGAGCUUAAUGGGAUGGAGUCCCUCCGUGUGAGGCUUCCAGCUGGGCUGAAUGUUCCACGAUGUCCUUACUGAUCUCCUUUGGGUGAUGGGGCGCUGCUUCAGCCUGAUGCUUUCUCUGCUGCCCCGGGUGGUGUCACACAUCCAACCACCGCAUGGUUCCCAUCCCCUGUGUUCUCCAGGCCCCCCUCUUGCCCAGCUCCAUUCCCCACUGCCCAUUUGACAUCCGAGGCAUGCUGUGACCCCACCUGCCAGCAUGACCCCUGCACCCUCCCGGUGUUGGUCACCCCAUACCAGCCUUCACUCUGACUGGGUCAUUCCUGCAGGAAAACCCACCUCUAUUCCCUUACAGAAAACCCUCUCUGCCUUCUCCCAGCUGCCCAAAGGUUUCUCCACAGCUCUAUCAGCCCCCAGCUCCGGUAUGUGGAGCUUCUCCUGGUGCAGAGCUGUGACCCUGAGAGUUUCUGUUCCAGCAUUUACCAGGCAGCUUCAGAGCUCAUUUUGCAAAAAGUUUUGGUAUCUCUUCUUUUAGUUGAUCAAAUAUCAAAAUACAUGUGCUUACAUGGUUUGUAUGUUAGUAACGGAGAGGUCUUUCUAAGGCAUUUCAGGAAGAUUUUGAGGCCUUAUGAACUCAUCGCUUCCCAGGUGAGCUUCUCCCCAGGGAGAGAGCAGAAAGCGUAAAUAGGAACUGAACCUUCCCUCAAAGUGGUAAUUGUGAUCUACUGACCCAAGAAGUACCUAUUGAUUGAGGUGAAGCCACAGAAGCUAUUUAGUUGCAAGAAAAAUAAAUUAAUUUCCGUCAGCUGAGGUCUCAGUGCACAGCAGUGUGUGACUGCUCCCCUCACAGCAUGCCCAACCUGCUCCCAAUCGCCUGCAGGAGAAAAUCCAGGUAAAAUUUGCCGUGCAAAAAGGGGAAAAGACGCUGCUGAGUGGCAGUCACCCGUAGUGCUGGAGACCAAAAUGUCACCUGGCAAUAAAAGCAUUCCUCUAAGUACUCCUUACUAACAAGGGAGGUAUUUACUGUGGCUGUCUCCUCUGGGCUGCUUGUUGAAAUGUUAAAGGGAUGUGCUCCUCCCCACUGCCCCUACUGCCUCCUCCCUCCUCUCUGGGCUCUGACUGUUUAAUCUGAUAUCUCUGAGCCACGAUCAGGGGCAGAUGUGACUGUAAGAAGGCCCAGAAAAAUCUUUUUAUUCUUGUCUUUCCCCCCUUGCUGCUGGCUGUGCUCCCAUCUCUGCUUCUGUUGGGGACUGAAGGUGUUGAGGGCGAGCAGCCCCCAUGCCACUUUGUCCUACCAGUCUUCAGCCCAUCUCGCACCACAGCACAGCUGAGAGAAAGGAAGAGGGACGCUGCACCUCAGGAAAGGCAAAAGCUGCCAACUGGCUGGGUGUUGUAUUGCCGUACCUGUGUGAUAGCGAGGCAUUACACUAAGAAUCUAUCACAAUCCAGCCAAUGGAUAUUAAUCCUGUGCCUCAUUGCAACGUAAAACUUCAAGUCAGUGAAAGAAAUGAUAAGGUCAAACCCAAACUGUUUGAUUUCACAUUGCAUUUGGCUCCAGCGAUGCAGAACAGAGGUGGCAAAAGACUUGCUUUGGUUUUCCUCCCUCCCUGUGGCAUUCUGCAAGAUGCCCCCAUGGCUCCGGGAAUUUGGGGGGGUCCCUAUGCAACCUCGAGGAAAAACCCACAGGUUAGAACAAAACCCAGCAUCAGAAAUAGAUGAAAGCAUUGACUGUGGGUGAGGUGGGUCCCAGGAGACCUGAGCUGUUGUCUCUAAUAAAAGAGCAUGGCAAAAAGCAUUAAACAGAGGAGCAGCUUAAUUUCCCUGCAGUGUUAGGGCUGCCGCUAACUGUAACUGAUGGGGUUAGUUAUAGACUGUAAUAUGUUUUCCUUGUGUAGCAAAGUCCCAUUGGGUUUUCUGGGUGUUAGUAUAACCGGAGCUGAGUGAUUUAGUCUCAGCUGAGCAGAAGAUGAUCACUCUCCCCCACUCUGCCUAUGAGGCCCAUCCAUCGCUGUGCAUGGAUCCUGCCCACGUCUCUCUCCAAUGGGUGAAACCUGGGCUUUUCCUCCUGUACAAGAUUGUUUUCUGGCUGAUUUGAGGUUUCUGGAAAGUUAAUUGAUCCCCAUUUUAAUCUCCUUGUGCUUGAACAAGAGACAUAGAUCAUUUUAAUUUCAGAAGAGGAAAAAUGAGUUUAUGUGACAUAACUCAGGCAGUGAUGUUCCUUUGGUACAGCAUCAGCAUCAUUAUAUCAAUUAAAUCAUGCUAUGCGUUACACCGAAGCAGGCUCCUUUACUUCUUGCUGGUUGCACAGUGAGUUAUUUGAUCAGAUACUGCAGUGCCUGAAGUGAAAUUGGGCAUUUCUGAGCUCCCGAAGUUCUGAACAUUACAGCAGCCCCCUUUGAACGCAUCGCUGCGGUUAUGGGCCAGGCAGCACUGGUGGGGCCAGCAUCUGAGGUGGCUUUUUGGAAUAUUUGAGAUGGGAAAAACGUCCGGAAAGUUCUUAGCAAGGACUGAAUUACAGUGCACGUGGUUAUUGAUCCCCAGUUUCUCCAAGCUCAGCCUUACAGAGACCACAGCAGCUCUGGCACUGAGAGCUGGGGGGAUGCCGAGGGGCCACCGUGGCAGCUCAUCCUGCAAUAUCCAUCUCCAUGGGGAAUUUGGCAAUUCAUUACAUCGAUGUAUGUGACAUUACACAUGCCUUACUUUACAACUGAGUUACUGAGGCAGCCUGGCAAAUCUCUGCAUCACUUUUGCGAAGCCGAGUGGUUCACUGCAGUGCUUUCUGAAGGGCAUUCCCAAGGCUUGUGCUAAAAUGACCCCAAUUCUUGCUCGUGUGUCUCGGUCACCUGCAAGUGCCUCGCCUGUGAGCUGAGAUCCUCCCCCCAGCCUGGGAGCACACUGCUGCCCUGGAGCAGUGCUCGGGAGAGCAUCCUUGGCUGGUGGCUGGGUGAAAUGCUUCUGAUUGGAAAUAGCUCUGACUUGACAGCCAAGAAAAGAGCAAAGAGGUGGGUUUCCUUGCAUGGGGCAUGACUCCAGCCAUAAAUCCAGUGAUGCUGGAGGGUACUUGAUGCAGUACAGUGCAAAGAACCUGGCCUUGACUGCAGCUUGAGAAUAGCAACAACCCACGUGCCUUCUGUGCCCAUCUCUGUGCUUCCCUUUGGGGUCACUGCUAAAAACCAUAGUUUCUCCUCCAUGAAAAGCAAAUGGACUUUUUCAUGUGCUCCAUAUUGGAAAAAAAAAAAAGACAUAUUGCAUUUCCCUAUGAAAAUCCUGCUAACUACAAAUGCCACACAACUAAUGUGAGGUUUACUACUGGGUACUGCUGACCACUUACUUCAUUACCGUGUGCCCAUUCAGUUCUAUUGAAUCAACAUCAGUAGUAGGAGACCCCAUCCAAAGGGAUGCAUUGGACCAACUAUGAACCCACAGAUGAAACCUGGUGGAAAAGCAAAACCCCCCAGUUUCACAGCCCGAUUCUCGUCUGAAGGGCUCUGCCCACAUCACCAGACUCAUCCCAACCCACCUGGCAGGACUCAGUGCUCAGAUCCUUGUGUUUUCUUUGCUGGACCAAUCCUGAUCAUUAUUAUUUGGGCCAUGCUUCCCAGGUUUUAAAUUAUUCUGUCUCAACUAGCUGGUGGCAUUUGUUACAUGUCAUGCAAUGUUCCUGGUAAUUAAUUGGUAUUUAAUUAAUUAAGGGAUAAUGGCAUUCAAUUAAGGGAUGCCUGUGGAAUGCUGUCACUGGGUAAUGAAUGGCUUCCUGCUGCUCAGGCAGAGCUGAGGCAUUUGUGGAAAGUAAAUAGAGAGGAGAAGCUGCAUCAUUGGUUCCCUUGGCAGAAGUCCUGAUGUGCCACCAUUGGCAGGGACGGUCACUGCCUGGAUGGUGGCAUCUCAGUGCUUCCAGCAGCUGCACAGCAACAGGGCUCCAUUCCCACACCCCUCGCCCGGGGAUCAGGGCAAGUCGAGCUUUUCCCCUGAUGGAUGUAAACUCAGUGUUGAUAUCCCCCAUGUAUAUGAAGGACUGUGGUAUCUGGUAGAAAACAGGCCUUGUGUCCUCUUGCCUUUGGAGCAGAGCACAGAGAAACUGUUCAUUUCCUGUGACGUGAAGACAAAUGAAAGUGGAUUUCUCAAGACAAACCAUCUUGAAUAAAGAGGGAUAAAUACUGAAGGAGAAACAAGAGUGAGUCACUUUGCUUACAAACACUCUGCGAUGCUGCGUGUGCUGCGGGUAUAAACAUUUCUGACCCUCCUUGCUUCCUCAGGCAUCCUUUUCACUGAGGGCCAUGCAGCUCUGCAUGGAACUGCAUGGAACCCCUUGGGAACUGGGUUAUUUCCAGGCAGAAUGGGGACCGUGAGGGCCGUGAGGGAGGUGGGCAUCCCUCUGAGUGGUGCCUUGCCCCACGCCCACAGCUCAGCACAGCCUCACAGCUCCCUGUUUCCCUCUCUGAGCCUUCCUGAGCUGCUGUACUCAGGGAGAUGCAAAGUGAACAUUGUGAAACACUGUAGUGCUUCAGUUCCCCGACAGCUUGCAGGUUUUCCCUAAAAAGCCCCAAGCCAUUUUUGUUUGGAGUGCACACUUCCAACUGAGAACUGCAAAACAAUUAAGGGGGAGAAAAUGCAAAUUGGACUUUCAUGGCUUGAUUGCUGACGCCUCCUAUAGAAGAACUGCCUGCUGGAUCUAAUUGUUUAUCCCAGCAGUGCAACGACACUAUUAAUAAUUUACUGUUUCUUUACAUUGCCUCCUUACACACAUUGUGUUUUCAUUAUUUUCUGGCACUCCUGCAUAACUGAUUUUUGCUUUCUAAUUCUGUUUCGUAUUUCAGCUGUAGUUGUGAAUGAGUACGAUGUGCACCUGUGCUCGCUGACCUCUCGGUAUUUUUGGAUGCUGGGGGUGAACUGUUUUUUUUUAGUGUAAGUGAAUGGGGCAGACACAGUGGGAUAUAUACACCUUCCUGAGACCUUUGGGAUGGAAGGUAAUGCGGAAACAUGAACUCUAAUUACAGCUCCAGCAAAGUCCACUUUCUAAUUAAUUGGAGAUUAAGUUAAAAAUAGAGCUGGUUAUGUAAAACGUAACUCGAAAGCCCUCGUCUACCUGGUUGCACAAUACCCAGGAGAAUGAUCCCUGCCAAUACUUAAUUAGAGGUAAACAUGCCCCAGGUGUGGCUUUUGAGGACACACAGCAGUUCUGCUGAGACCCAGUGGUGUGGGGCUGGCAAACCAUGCUCCAUCCGUAGGAAGAAGACCCCAAAGCUCCCCAAAAGCUCACCCAUCAGCUCACAUUCACCACUCGCAAGCCUGGAGGUCCCAAAAAGCUUUGAAGCCCAGCACGUGGUGGUUCCCCAAGGCAGCUUGCACCUCUCUGUCUCUACAAGUUCCUGUAAACACUUUCAUCGUGCCUGUAUAUAAAAGGAAGAAGAAUGCGGAUGCAGCCUCCAUGUCCAUCCCCCAAAAGGUCAAGCAAUUCGGCCCAACAAAACCUCAACAAACACUCAUUGGGCUUUUAAUUGAGUUGUUUUCGUUUCAUUCAAAAAAAAAACAAAAAAAAACCCAACGCACUGAAAUUCUUCUGUGGGUUUGUUGGGGUGGGAGGGCUGCCCUGCAUGCCCUGCAGUGUGCUUGCUGCUGGGGGUUCCUCCCUUAUCCUUCAUCAGUGGGAGGCUUGGAGACCACAGCUGGGACGGGAGGUGGCUCUCAGAGAUUCUAGGGGUCCAGAGAGGGGGAGACUGACAAUGGGAUUCUGUGGGAGACCGGUGACGCCUCAGGGCAGCCAGAGUCUGUGCUCUGCUGCUCGUCUUCCCUGCUCCUCUCAGGAUCUUGAAAUUCACUGCUUCUGAUUACUAGGGCCAAAGUUGCCAUUGACUACCACAGCCACAUCUGCUGCGUACUGUUAGUGGGCAGCAGAUCCAGCUGUGCAUCCACUUGGCCAAUCCAGCACCUCCAUCACAAGAACAUCCAUG
rnacentral:lncRNA from 1 species